ACCGGUGCUUAGAUCCAGGGGGUCACACCCGUUCCCAUUCCGAACACGGCCGUUAAGACCCUGGAACCGAUGGUAGUGCUCAACCGUGCGAGAGUAGGUAGUGCCGGUU
rnacentral:rRNA from 1 species